AUAUACACACAUAUGUGUAUAUAGAGACUGAUGCACACACUUAUGUAUAUGUGUGUGUGUAUGUGUGUAAA
rnacentral:miRNA from 1 species